GCUCCCAUCGUCUAGUGGUCCAGGACGCCGCCCUCUCACGGCGGAAACACGGGUUCGAGUCCCGUUGGGAGUACCA
rnacentral:tRNA from 1 species